UAACAAUUUUUUUUUGGGUACUAGCCUCGAACCAACUCCAUGAGUCCGCAGCUGGAACCCCUAAAACCCCUCUAAUGGCAGGACCUCAUCUUCCCUCUGUAUGCUCUCAUGUAUGGUUCACUGACCAAAUAACCAAAAAACCCACCAAUGAUAUAUAUACCUGAGAAAAUUCAAUUCUUGGCGUUUUUUUAAACAGUUCUUCAACUUCCCCCAAACUCUAUCGGAUCAACAUUCUUGAAUUCUUCAACCCCAUAUCAAUUUUCGUCAUCUUUUUGGAAACCCUUUUCGUUUUCAGUUCAGUUUCAGAAAGAAUCAACUAGUUUAGAUAGUGUAGCAAAGAAACCAUUGGGUGUUUUCUUUCAAGAAGUUGUUGGUCACUUAAAAAAGUCUGAACAAUCAGAAAGUGAGGAAAACAAAGAAUUGAACUGUAAAUUGAGAAAAUUGGAAGAAGAAGUUUGAAUUUUGCGGGAGAAGAGGAAAAAUGGAAGGGAUUGUAAGGAGGAAGCUAGAGAUGUUAAUGGGGUAUUGGAAAAUGAGGGGAAGAGUAACAAAUUACAUGAAUUGUUAAUGAAUGAGGAGGUUAAGAGUGUAAAAUCAAGAAAGUCGACAUCGUUGAGUAUGGAGGAUCAUACAGUGUACAAAGAGCUUUCACCUGAUAUGGGUGAUGUUUGUGACUCAUUUAUGCAAUGCAGGUACUUUAAAGAUUCAAACUUUUUGCCUAGGAGGAAGUUUGAUAUUACUUGCUUCGAGAAUAGCUAUUCCCGUGAUUUUGUAAAGUAUGCAGCUGAGCAGUUUGGUAGAGAUCACCAAGAGAUUGCUAAAUGGUUGUCUGGCAGUGACUUGAAAAAAGUCGCCCUUUUGGGUUGCCCUUCUAUUGCAAAGAAGACUGUCUUUUUCUGCUAAGAGGUUGCGUACAUAUUUCAGAAUUCAAGAAGUUAAUGCAUGCAGCAAAUGUGCCUUAAAAGCAUCAUGCAAGUUUGUGAUUCAGAAUGUCUGGAAAGGCAAUAUGACAAAUUUACACUAGGCUGUGGUAAUGAGGGUUAUUACUCUGUAUGCACUGGAAUCAGUUCCUCCCCAGUUAGUAAUACCAGAUGAAAUAAAGGCUUCUGCCAGUCGUUUGCUGAUGGACAUUUUGAGACUUAGUCAAAAUGUGUCUUUAAUCGCUUAUUCAGAAUCCGAAGAGUUGAUCAGCAGCAUACAGGUAACAUUGGUCUAAUUGUCAGUGAGGUCCUUAUAUCCCGACAUGAUCAUGCUAGUUCUACGCCUGGCUGCACUAUAUUUUGUCAUGCUUAUUCACGAGUAGUAGUACCUAUGGUAAUGAAUCCAUGUACCAGAUGGACAGUCGGGUUGAAUCUCUGGAUAUAACAACGGAACCUUAGUUGUUAAGAGGUGAUCGAAGUCAACUGCUCGUUUCUUAUAGGAAAACUGUAAAUGCAUCUCCUUCGAAACACAUCUUUGUUGAUCCAUGACCCGAGAUCUUUAACAAGAUUUCGUUCAACUUUACGGAUAACCAAAGUGUUCCGAAGUCAAAUAUUUGCAAUUGUAGGAAAUAUAUCAAGAAGUUUCUCCAUGAA